rnacentral:rRNA from 1 species
GACGAACGCUGGCGGCGUGCCUAAUACAUGCAAGUCGAGCGAAUUUACGAGAGCUUGCUCUCGUAAAUUAGCGGCGGACGGGUGAGUAACACGUGGGCAACCUGCCUAUAAGACUGGGAUAACUUCGGGAAACCGGAGCUAAUACCGGAUAAUUCACAUCUACUCAUGUAGAUGUGCUGAAAGACGGUUUACGCUGUCGCUUAUAGAUGGGCCCGCGGCGCAUUAGCUAGUUGGUGAGGUAACGGCUCACCAAGGCCACGAUGCGUAGCCGACCUGAGAGGGUGAUCGGCCACACUGGGACUGAGACACGGCCCAGACUCCUACGGGAGGCAGCAGUAGGGAAUCUUCCGCAAUGGACGAAAGUCUGACGGAGCAACGCCGCGUGAGUGAUGAAGGUUUUCGAUCGUAAAACUCUGUUGUUAGGGAGAACAAGUACCAGAGUAACUGCUGGUACCUUGACGGUACCUAACCAGAAAGCCACGGCU